UACGAAGGGGGCUAGCGUUGUUCGGAAUUACUGGGCGUAAAGCGCGUGUAGGCGGGUCCUUAAGUCAGGGGGGAAAUGCCAAGGCUCAACCUUGGAACUGCCUUUGAUACUGGGGAUCUUGAGUCCGGGAGAGGUGAGUGGAACUGCGAGUGUAGAGGUGAAAUUCGUAGAUAUUCGGAAGAACACCAGUGGCGAAGGCGACUUACUGGACACAUAUUGACGCUGAGGUGCGAAAGCGUGGGGAGCAAACAGG
rnacentral:rRNA from 1 species